UUAGAGUUUGAUCAUGGCUCAGGAUGAACGCUGGCGGCGUGCCUAACACAUGCAAGUCGACGGGGUUAAGGGAAAUUUUCGGAUGGAACUUAACUUAGUGGCGGACGGGUGAGUAACGCGGGAUAACCUGCCUCACACUGGGGGAUAGCAGCUGGAAACGGCUGGUAAUACCGCAUAAGACCCGGCACCGCAUGGUGCCGAGGUAAAAGAUUUAUCGGUGUGAGAUGGAUCCGCGUCUGAUAGCCAGUUGGCGGGGUAACGGCCCACCAAAGCGACGAUCAGUAGCCGGCCUGAGAGGGUAACGGCCACAUUGGGACUGAGACACGGCCCAAACUCCUACGGGAGGCAGCAGUGGGGAAUUUGCACAAUGGGCGCAAGCCUGAUGCAGCAACGCCGCGUGAGUGAAGAAGUAUUUCGGUAGUAAAGCUCUAUCAGCAGGGAAGAAAGGCCCGAAAGGGAGAUGACGGUACCUGACUAAGAGCCCCGGCUAACUACGUGCCAGCAGCCGCGGUAAUACGUAGGGGGCAAGCGUUAUCCGGAUUACUGGGUGUAAAGGGAGCGCAGACGGCAGUGCAAGUCUGAUGUGAAAGCCCGGGGCUCACCCCGGAACUGCAUUGGAAACUGUACAGCUUGAGUGUCGGAGAGGUAAGCGGAAUUCCUGUGUAGCGGUGAAAUGCGUAGAUAUUAGGAGGAACACCGGUGGCGAAGGCGGCUUACUGGCGAUAACUGACGUUGAGGCUCGAAAGCGUGGGGAGCAAACAGGAUUAGAUACCCUGGUAGCCACGCUGUAAACGAUGAAUACUAGGUGUGGGUGUGCACUGCACAUCCGUGCCGCAGCUACGCAAUAAGUAUUCCACCUGGGGAGUACGUUCGCAAGAAUGAAACUCAA
rnacentral:rRNA from 1 species